AAAUAGCAUUCGAUCUAUAGGCUGUUCGAUAGGAACUGCUUGCGAUUCUCGAAAGCGUUAGUGGCGUUGGUACAAUUUAGUCAGCACAAGUAAGUGGCUUUGAGAGAAAAAUUACAGAAAUCAUUUAAUAUAAAGGAGUGCUGAAUAUUACAUAGUAAAUGUUAUCACUGUGAGCUUUAGGUUAGCUCGAAAUGAAGUUAAAUCGUAAAGUGCACGUUAAGAUGGCGUUACAAAGUGAUCAUUUGUUUUCUUUAACCUUUCGCAUAAACCUUUUAGGUACCUCAGUAUGUGUAAAAAUCCAGAGAUACAGUAUAUUAAUCAGCUGUAUAGGAGAAAAAGAUACAUUGAAGGUCAUUUCGAUAUCGUGAAAGAUUAAACAGAAUCCUAUAAAACCUCAAUGGCGAAAGUAAACGAAGUAAUAGAGUACAUAUUUUGAUAUUUAUAAAUUGGGGAAUACAUUAAAAACUGAUGAUAAUUAAUCAUAGGAAAAAAGUGGCUUUUCUAAAUUACUUGAAACUUGGACAAAAGUCGCUUAAGGGGUUGAAAAGAGUUACUUCUCCAGGUUACAAGAUCCAACCCAGUGUAUCAGCAAGGCGUAACAAGUGUCUGUGUGACGUCACGCGGCUUUCUGGAGGCGGAGCCUGUGAUCGCGGGAGCAGGUGGGGGUGGGACUCUCCCGCAUCGUGGAUCGUUUGCCCCACCCUCGGGAUUUUGUUCCUUCGUACCACCGCCACCUUCAACCUCCUCCUUUUCUCCCCCGUCGUCUCUUUUACUCUCUUUUGAACUUUGUUCGGUGACCCCCCACCUGUCUCUAGUCUACCAAGUUGCAAGAACACCGAACUGCCACAAAAUACUCGAGUAAACUGUAAUCAAAUAACCGUUGACCCUUUGAAGUUAACCGGUGAAGUCAAGCGAUCCAGCCCGACGACGCACCGAUAUUACUUGAUACGUAGCUUCGUUGAAGUUGGAAAGAAUUUUCCCGGAAUACAUACGCGAAAAGAUGGUGUAAGGCGCUUUAAAGGUCUCCGGUCGGCGUGUUCCCGCAACGCUACCGUUUAUUGCACUGUGGUCUGCUAAAGUGCAAUCGAGGAAGCAAAAUGCGGUUUCACUCGUUCGUGCGGGGCUCGCAAGAAUGUAAUUAACCCCUCGGAAGUGGCACGGUGCUUCGACCCGUGGCCGAUUUUACCUGCGUUUUCUUAUCUCUCUGUCUUUAAAAGUGAGAAGCGCGGACGAGGGACACCUCGCCGAUCGGUUUUGUCGGUUCACACCGAUCUACCGCAAAAAUCGGGUCUGCGUGUCGUGAAACCGCAAUUACUUACGCGAAAGACGCCGGCCAGAUCUAUCGCAGUUGUCACGUGUGUUUAUGGUUGUUCGGCCAUGAUGUAAUCCCAUUGUUUUUUUACUUGAUUUUUCUAGUCUGUAUGUUGAGACUUUUUCUUUUAAUUGCAUAGUUUGCUUCCUUUAAUAAGAAAAUGUAUAAACAAUGUGGUAAUUCAAUUCGUGGUUAGGAAUGCUUAAUAUAUAGAAUAGUUAACCAUUGUUAUUUGUCUUGCGAAUUAAUGAUCAAUUAAGAUAA
rnacentral:lncRNA from 1 species